rnacentral:misc_RNA from 1 species
GAUGAAGAACGUAGCGAAAUGCGAUAAGUAGUGUGAAUUGCAGAAUUCAGUGAAUCAUCGAAUCUUUGAACGCACAUUGCGCCCUUUGGUAUUCCAAAGGGCAUGCCUGUUCGAGCGUCAUUUGUACCCUCAAGCUUUGCUUGGUGUUGGGCGUCUUGUCUCUAGCUUUGCUGGAGACUCGCCUUAAAGUAAUUGACAGCCGGCCUACUGGUUUCGGAGCGCAGCACAAGUCGCACUCUCUAUCAGCAAAGGUCUAGCAUCCAUUAAGCCUUUUUUUCAACUUUUGACCUCGGAUCAGGUAGGGAUACCCGCUGAACUUAAGCAUAUCAAUAAGCGGAGGA